rnacentral:miRNA from 1 species
AAUUAAGUUUGUUCCUGGUAUGAGCUUUCGUGUGCAUGCACACUUCUUCAGAUACCAUAUCUGAUAUCUUCUGCAGAUAUCUGAAGAAGUGUGCAUGCACACGAAAGCUCAUACCAGGAACAAACUUAGUUGG